CUCCAUCACCAUGGAUAUGGAUAAUGUAAUCACCGUGGAUGACACAGGGCUGAUGCUGAUGCAGCCUCUUCACUGCAGAGUCAACUUGACUCAUUUCUCUGGUGGACAUGCUGGUGACUCUGGGACAGAAGCAAGGCACUAGCUUUUACACCAGUGGAGUUAAUUCUGUGCUUUCAACUGCUGAUUGUAUUUCCAUUACGUGGAAGGCUGAGAGUCCUCUUGCUGAAGACUGCAUCUAGGAAAGGCUCACAUGAGAGUCAUUGGGAAGAAGGGUAUACAAGGAUCAUUUGUACACCUUGUCUCAAAGCAGGGUGCAAGACCACUGUUGUUUCCAAGACUUUG
rnacentral:lncRNA from 1 species